CCGGGCAGAAACAGUCUGCAGACCUCAUUCACCGAAAUGGACACACAUCAGACUCGUGAAACCUUAUCAGAAUAAUGUUUAUAUACGAUUUGACCAAUAUUUAGAUACAGUACGAUAUCUACCAUGGAGUAAGAAUAUUUAACCUCGACAAACUUUGGUUCCCAGCCAACUUUGAACUACUCCACCCGUGUAUAUACACCUACUGCAUGUUGACUUCUUAUAAGAUUUAUAAAUCUUAAGACAAUUGUCUCCCAUUGGAACAAAUGCCAGGUCCUAUUCAAAGCUCAAAAUAACGCCAUUUAAUGGCUAUAUCCUUAUAGUCAUUGGCCGAUUAUUUGAACAGCGGAAAGCAGUCAUUGAAAAUUCAGAGAAUGGAGCAGUUACAGAGAAAGUCUUGCAGCAAAACUGGACGUUUUUGAUACAGAAUAUAUCAACAGAUGAAUCUCUUUUGGUGGACCACUUGUAUGAAAUGAACACUGUGACCAUUAAUGAGAUGGAAGUUGUCAGGACUCAAAGCCCAAUGCGCAACAAAGUGGUCAAACUUUUGGAAAUUCUUCAACGCAAGAGCCCAGAGGCUUUCCAUCAAUUCAUAGAAGCACUGGAAAGAUCUAAUCAAAGCCACAUUGCUCACAGAUUGAAUGAGUCUUUAGAAGAAGAACUGAGAAGAUAAGGAGGUCUGGCUAUUUAUCAGACUGGUUGCUUAGAAAUACAAUUCAGUAACCCUUUAUCAGUACUCCAUAAUUCAUAUUAUUAUUGAAACAAAUUUGAAGGAAAGCAUGAGAGUUUAGCAGAAUCCAUAAUUUGCAUUGUGAAAAAAUUCCCGAGGAGGCUGUUUCAGAUCUCAUACAGGAAACAUAUAAAAUCAAUGACAGUGUACAGAGCAUUGUUGUCACCUCUGCUUGCAACAAUGAAGUGUCGUAAGCUAGCUGGUAUCGUUUGGCCAUGUGACUUGGCAUGACACUGUUGACAACUGUCCUUCAGAGUACUUUAGAAAGAGGUCAACAUCAAGGUGGUCAGAGGAAGAACUUGAAGUAGUGGACUGGUGUUUUAGUGCAGGACCUGCUCGCUAUUGAUGAAGACUAGCCUGAGUAGUGAACCUUUUUAGCUCCAGUGUCUGUUCAUGUGCUCACCUGAUGACCUGGUGAACUAACAUAACUGGUACCAAUGAUAAUGCACACACACUGUGUGUGUGGUUGUUGCUUGCAUGUACAUGAGGGUUACUGUAAUGCAAAUAUCUGUGUGUCUGCUGUGUAUGAACUUUUGCUUGAUUGUUGUUACAGAAUGGCCAGAAAUUAUUUUUACAUCACAAUUUUUUCUUAACCAGUUGUGGCAUGCCAAACCACUCAAAACACAAUAAAGGUUAACUGUGAAAAUCAG